CCUACGGGAGGCAGCAGUGGGGAAUAUUGCGCAAUGGACGAAAGUCUGACGCAGCGACGCCGCGUGUGGGAUGACGGUCUUCGGAUUGUAAACCACUGUCGGGAGGGACGAAUACGCCGCAAGGCGGGUGACGGUACCUCCAAAGGAAGCACCGGCUAACUCCGUGCCAGCAGCCGCGGUAAUACGGAGGGUGCGAGCGUUGUCCGGAAUCACUGGGCGUAAAGGGCGCGUAGGCGGCCUGAUAAGUAGGGGGUGAAAUCUUGCGGCUUAACCGCAAGGCUGCCUUCUAAACUGUCAGGCUCGAGCACAGUAGAGGCAGGUGGAAUUCCCGGUGUAGCGGUGGAAUGCGUAGAGAUCGGGAAGAACAUCAGUGGCGAAGGCGGCCUGCUGGGCUGUUGCUGACGCUGAGGCGCGACAGCGUGGGGAGCAAACAGGAUUAAAUACCCUGGUAGUCCACGCCGUAAACGAUGGGCACUAGGCGUCGGGGGGAGCGACCCUCCCGGUGCCGUCGCUAACGCAGUAAGUGCCCCGCCUGGGGAGUACGGCCGCAAGGCUGAAACUCAAAGGAAUUGACGGGGGCCCGCACAAGCGGUGGAGCAUGUGGUUUAAUUCGAAGCAACGCGA
rnacentral:rRNA from 1 species